AUUCUAGAUGGGGAAAUAAUAAGGACCCAAGGAUAGGUUGGUGAUUCACAACAGUAAUUGGGGAUCCCUUAUGCUCUAAAUGGAUAUAUGUUGCAAUGGCUUCGCAUGAAGGUCAAUAAAAGAUAAAUAAAAUUUAAGUAUUGUUUAGAGCAUCAUCCUUGAUCUAUAUGAUGGUAAUUCCAUAUUUUGGUGUAUCGUUUAUACUUUCUAAUGAUCUUCUUAUUGCCAUUUUGUUUAACUUCUCUGUUUA
rnacentral:lncRNA from 1 species